rnacentral:tRNA from 1 species
GAGAUUGUGGCUCAGUGGUAGAGCACUUGCCUAGCAUGCAUGAAGCACUAGGUUCAAUCCCC